rnacentral:lncRNA from 1 species
CAACUGUUUUUCAAUAAAAAUGACAAACUCAUAAAAAUUAUAUGAGAGAGGAAGUGAAAUUCAGAUAAAAGUUUAAAUUUGUCAGUAAUGAUGAAAAACAUCACAUGUGUAAAACACGUCUAGUCUUUUUAGUUGUUAUUAGGAAUAUUGGAAUUGUAAAUAAUACAUUUUGAUGUCAGACAAAUGUCCACGUAAAUUAUGGUGGUGAACAUAUUUACUCAUAUAUACAUUUAUCUAUACAUUUAAUACAUAUAAACAUAAUUAUAGCGUAAUAUUUUAUUAUUGUAUUAUUUAUUACAGCAGUGCCCGGGACAUUUCUGUCUCCUCUGAUCGUUGGACUCAUUUGUGGAGUUUCACUGAUUUUUCUUCUUCUUCUUCUUCUGCUCGUGUGUCGUUUCAAACAGUCAAAGGAUUCAUUCUUUAUCAGGACUCAGAGCACAAAUCAGAGCUCUGCUAUGAACCACAUGAUCAAUCAGGAUGAAUCUCAACACAGCCAAAACACUUCUCCUCUCCAAGAUGACAGUGUGUUGUAUGCACAGGUCUCCCACAGUAGAUCUAAAGCCAAGAGAGACAAAGGUAAGUACUGGAAUAAAACCAGUAACUUAUUUAUUUUGCUUUUUCAUUUAUAAAGUCUUACACACCAA